rnacentral:misc_RNA from 1 species
AAAAUGAUAAAAACACGUGUUAAAAAUAAAAAUUUCAAAGGGAUGAUUUUUUUUAACAAAAUAAAUACAUAAUAUGUUAAGAAACUUAUGUUAUUUAUAUUAUACUCUCACUUGCAAAAAUAAGCAUGCUUUAUCUAAAUGGUAUUACCAUAAAUCCUAUAUCUAAGAUGGAAUAAUUUAAAAAAGUACAACACUUGGUCAAGUAAGUUGUAGUUCACGCUAAUUACAUUUCUCUUACCCUUAACGUUUAUUUUUCAGAUACAUUUCUCUAAUUAUAUUUUUGUGUUAAUUUUUAUCAAGUAAUUGAUUUUGUCCUCUUUUAUUUAU